rnacentral:rRNA from 1 species
AUUGAACGCUGGCGGAAUGCUUUACACAUGCAAGUCGAACGGUAGAGGGGGCAACCCCCUUGAGAGUGGCGAACGGGUGAGUAAUAUAUCGGAACGUGCCCAGUCGUGGGGGAUAACGUAGCGAAAGUUACGCUAAUACCGCAUACGAUCUAAGGAUGAAAGCGGGGGAUCGCAAGACCUCGCGCGAUUGGAGCGGCCGAUAUCAGAUUAGCUAGUUGGUGGGGUAAAAGCCCACCAAGGCGACGAUCUGUAGCUGGUCUGAGAGGACGACCAGCCACACUGGAACUGAGACACGGUCCAGACUCCUACGGGAGGCAGCAGUGGGGAAUUUUGGACAAUGGGCGCAAGCCUGAUCCAGCAAUGCCGCGUGCAGGAUGAAGGCCUUCGGGUUGGUAAACUGCUUUUGUACGGAACGAAACGGCUUCUUUAAUAAAGGGGACGUAAUGACGGUACCGUAAGAAUAAGCACCGGCUAACUACGUG